rnacentral:tRNA from 1 species
CGGCUUUUGAUAAAUUCACUUACAACGAAUUUUUGUCUUUUGAUAAGACUAAGCUGU